GCCAUACCAAGUUUAAACAUCGAUUCUCGUACGAUCACCGAAGUUAAGCAACGUCGAGCCUGGUUAGUACCUAGAAGGAUGAACGCUUGAAAAUAACAGGUGCU